CCACACAUGGUACAACCUUUAAGGA
rnacentral:tRNA from 2 species